rnacentral:rRNA from 1 species
UGAUCAAGUUAUAGCAGCACAUAGAGGAUACCUUGGCACUGCAAGUCGAUGAAGGACGCGAUUGGCCGCGAUAUUCCCCGGGGAACUGUCUAAAUAGUUUUGAUCCGGGGGUCUCCGAAUGGGCAAACCCAUACUGGUUAAUUCCAGUAUAUCCUGACGUAAGUCAGGGUGACAACCCGCUGAACUGAAACAUCUUAGUAAGCGGAGGAAGAGAAAGUAAUAACGAUUCCGGGAGUAGUGGCGAGCGAAACCGGAACAGCCCAAACCUCGAUUUUAUCGGGGGGUAGAGGGACCGCAAUGUGAGACCAAAAAAUCUAGCUGAACCGCUCUGGAAAGUCUGGCCAUAGAAGGUGAUAGCCCUGUAAGCGAAAGAUUUAAUGGCUCUAGCGGUAUCCCAAGUACAACCGGACACGAGGAAUCUGGUUGGAAUCAGGGAGGACCAUCUCCUAAGGCUAAAUACUCUGCAGUGACCGAUAGUGAACUAGUACCGUGAGGGAAAGGUGAAAAGAACCCAGGAAUGGGAGUGAAAUAGAACUUGAAACUGUGUGCUUACAAGCAGUUGGAGCCCCCCGAUUUAUCGGGGGGUGACAGCAUGCCUAUUGAAGAAUGAGCCGGCGACUUACAAUUACAUGCAAGCUUAGGGUGUUGAGCCUGAGGCGCAGCGAAAGCGAGUCUUAAAUGGGCGAUUUAGUAUGUAGUUGUAGACCCGAAACCGAUAGCGACCUAUCCUUGGGCAGAGUGAACUUCAAGUAAAAUUGAAGGGAGGCUCGAACCUAUUGAUGUUGAAAAAUCUCAGGAUGACCUGAGGAUAGCAGUGAAAAGCUAAACGAGCUCGGAGAUAGCUGGUUCUCCUCGAAAUGGUUUUAGGGCCAGCCUCAAGCUUAUCUGCGUGGGGGUAGAGUACAGUUCGGACUAGGGGGCCGAGAGGCCUUCCAAAUCCUUGCUAACUCCGAAUACCAUGUAGUAAUUGCUUGGGAGUGAGACUACGAGGGAUAAGCCUCGUGGUCAAAAGGGAAACAGCCCAUGAUCGUCAGCUAAGGUUCCUAAAUGUAUGCUAAGUGGGAAAGGAAGUAAAGUCGGCUAGACAGCCAGGAGGUUGGCUUAGAAGCAGCCAUCCUUUAAAGAGUGCGUAACAGCUCACUGGUCGAUCGAUUUUGCGCCGAAAACACACGGAGCUCAAGCAUACUACCGAAGCUACGGGUGGUCCGGAUGAAUAAUCCGGAUCGCGGUAGAGGAGCGUUCCGUUGUAGGUUGAAGUUGUGUCGCGAGGCACAAUGCACGAAACGGAAGUGAGAAUGUCGGCAUAAGUAACGAAAAUACGGGUGGAAAUCCCGUACGCCGAAAGUCUGAGGUUUCCUGGGGAAGGCUCGUCCUCCCAGGGUAAGUCGAUAUCUAAGCCAAGCCCUAGCGCGGCUAAGCUAGGGGUAGGUGAUGGCUAAACGGUUAAUAUUCCGUUACCGCCUAUUUUGUUAACCAGAAGGACGCAGGGGGAUAACUCAUUACACUUAUUGGAUUGUGAGCCUGAUUUAUUUCGGGCGCGAUGGGUGACUCCGCACUGACGAGAAAAGCUCUGGGUAUUGUGAUAGGUGAUCGUACCAUAAACCGACACAGGUGGACAGGCUGAACAAGCCAAGGCGCGCGAGAUAACUCUCUCUAAGGAACUAGGCAAAAUGGUCCCGUAACUUCGGGAAAAGGGACGAUCCGAUUCAUUUCGGAUCCUCAGAUAUCAGACUUCCGCGACUGUUUAACAAAAACACAGGUCUCUGCUAACCCGUAAGGGGAUGUAUAGGGGCUGAUGCCUGCCCAGUGCUGGAAGGUUAAGAGGAUGUUUGAGAUUAUAUCAAGGACAGAAUCGAAGCCCCAGUGAACGGCGGCCGUAACUAUAAAUAGGACCUCUCCGCCACAGGCUGAGAAAAAAGUUGUAGUUACGAAAAUAAAUUUAGCUAUAUGCUGGAAACUCCGGUGUAUCCUUCUUUACUAGAUAAAAUUUUAUUUAGUGACAAUAAGCAAGGUGCGGACAAUCAGCAGGAAAGGUCUUGAUAUGCUUGAUUUGAAUACUGUUCCAUUUAGGAUUGGUUGUUAUUUUGCUGGUUUUGCCGAUGGAGAAGGGAGCUUCAAUGUUUCUUUCAGGCCCAGGGAUGAUUACAAAAAUCCCUGGAAAAUAUCUUUGUGUUUCAAUAUUUCCCAAAAAGACAAGGUGAUCCUGGCUUUGUUUAAAAGAUAUCUGAAUUGCGGAACGUUGAGGAGCAGACCCGAUGGUGUUUGGUAUUAUGAGGUAAAUAAUUUUACCGCCAUCAUCGAGAAUGUGAUCCCCUUUUUCAGGAAAUAUGGUUUUUUGUCGGCAAAAAAGAAAAGAGACUUUAAUAAGUUUCAGCAAAUCGCCAUGAUAAUUGGCAGUAACCGUCAUCUUCAUGAAUCCGGGAUCAGAGAGAUCCUGGAAAUUAGAAAAGAGAUGAACGACGGCGGUAGAAGAAGGCAUACUGACGAAGAAGUUCUCAGUAAAAUCAAGGAAUCCUCAGAGACUACACGCUAAACUCCGAUUGACCGUGAUCGGGGAUGAUAUAGUCCGAUCUUUAUGGCGACAUAAAGUUAACAAUUUGAACGGUCCUAAGGUAGCGAAAUUCCUUGUCGGGUAAGUUCCGACCCGCACGAAAGGCAUAACGAAGGAAGUGCUGUCUCGGAGAGAGACUCGGUGAAAUUGGGAUGACCGUGAAGACACGGUUUAACUGCACCAGGACAGAAAGACCCCGUGGAGCUUUACUAUACCCUAACUUUGAGAUUUGACGCCGCUUGCGUAGCAUAGGUGGGAGGCUUUGAUCCCCUGUUUUUGGAUGGGGGGGAGCCAACAGUGAAAUACCACCCUGGUUGUGUUAGAUUUCUAACCCUGGCCUUGUUAAGCUGGGAGACAGAGUUAGGCGGGUAGUUUGACUGGGGCGGUCGCCUCACAAAGGAUAACUGAGGCGUUCAAAGGUACCCUCAGCACGGUUGGAAAUCGUGCGUCGAGUGUAAAGGCAUAAGGGCGCUUGACUGCGAGACGUACAUGUCGAGCAGGGACGAAAGUCGGACUUAGUGAUCCGGUGGUUCUGAAUGGAAGGGCCAUCGCUCAACGGAUAAAAGUUACCCCGGGGAUAACAGGCUGAUCUCCUCCAAGAGUUCACAUCGACGAGGAGGUUUGGCACCUCGAUGUCGGCUCAUCGCAUCCUGGAGCUGGAGCAGGUUCCAAGGGUUGGGCUGUUCGCCCAUUAAAGCGGUACGUGAGCUGGGUUCAGAACGUCGUGAGACAGUUUGGUCCAUAUCCGGUGCAGUCGCAAGGAAAAUUGAGAGGAGUCCUUCCUAGUACGAGAGGACCGGAAGGAACAGACCGCUGGUGUACCAGUUGUGGGGCCUACCUGCAAACGCUGGGUAGCCAUGUCUGGAAGGGAUAAAUGCUGAAAGCAUCUAAGCAUCAAGCCCACCUCAAGAUUAGUUUUCCCAUCUGGAUCCCGCAAGGGUGAAGGAGUAAGACCCCCUGAAGAACACAGGGUUGAUAGGCUGGAGGUGUAAAGGCGGCAACGUCUGAGCUGACCAGUACUAAUCGGUCGAGGACUUAUUUAUU